AUGAAAACCUCAACAAGAUAUCAAGAAAGAAAAACCAUGGGAUGUAUCAUCAUCUCCCCUCAAAUGAAACCCUUCAAAAACAUAGAGAAAGAGAAGAGGAAGAGCGAUAUAUAUCAAGAAUCGGAAAUAUCUCACCAAAGUAAACUCAAAUGCAGCUUUUUCAUCAUCAAUCAUGCAUCAUAA